CUACGGGACGCAGCAGUGAGGAAUUUUGCGCAAUGGGGGAAACCCUGACGCAGCGACGCCGCGUGGACGAUGAAGGCCUUAGGGUUGUAAAGUCCUGUCAGCAGGAAAGAAAUGUGCAUAAGUUAAUACCUUAUGCAUUUGACGGUACCUGCAAAGGAAGCACCGGCUAGCUCCGUGCCAGCAGCCGCGGUAAUACGGAGGGUGCAAGCGUUAAUCGGAAUUACUGGGCGUAAAGGGCGCGUAGGCGGCCCUGUUAGUCAGAUGUGAAAGCCCCCGGCUCAACCGGGGAAGUGCAUCUGAAACUGCAGGGCUUGAAUAUGGGAGAGGAAAGUGGAAUUCCCGGUGUAGAGGUGAAAUUCGUAGAUAUCGGGAGGAACACCAGUGGCGAAGGCGACUUUCUGGACCAAUAUUGACGCUGAGGCGCGAAAGCGUGGGGAGCAAACAGGAUUAGAUACCCCUGUAGUC
rnacentral:rRNA from 1 species